UAAAAAAAAUUGCAAUUGCUUCGCUUUUUUACUUCGGCAACGGUUGCCGUCGCAAUUGAGACCUUAUUGCUACGGAAAAUGUUCCGUCGCGAUUAAGUCUUAUCAUUUGCGACGGAAAAUUUUUGCCGUAGUAACUUUAUAAUGAAUUACUACGCUUUUUCCUCUUGCCGUCGCAAAACUUGUUUCUAUUUCCCUCACUAUCAUCCCGAUCUGCAGCCCUAAAUAACCUCUCUCACCCAACGCUCUGUCUCUAUCACGCCCAAACUCUCUCUGUCUCUCUUCUCGCCCAAGCUCGCCCAUGCCAAGCGCUCUCGCUCUCUAUCUCUAUCUCUAUCACGCCCAAACUCUCUCUCUGUCUCUCUUCUCACCCAAGCUCGCCCAUGCCAAGCGCUCUCUCUGUCUCUAUCUCUCUUGCCCAAGCUCCGCAGCGCCUUGAACAAGACAUAGUCGAGGUCCGAAAGAAUCGUCAGAGAGAAUAAGCUUUCGGGAAGAGAGUGGCGCCAGAUUCUUGAGGUAACGAGUGUUGGAAUCAAUACUGAAUGGGGAUUGUUGAUGGCAAGUAUAUCUAUAAGGAUACCUAUAAAGAAACUCUUCUACAGGUUCUUGCAUUUUUUCUAGAAUGUUGUUCUUUAAUUUUGGAAAAUCACUUACAGCUGAUUGCUAUCUAUUUGUGGUCUGAAAGUUAUCUAUACGGCUAGAGCUCUACUCUAGCAAUAUUCAUAUUGUUAUCUCUCUGCUGCGUACAAGUGAUUAUGA